GACGAACGCUGGCGGCGUGCUUAACACAUGCAAGUCGAACGGAAAGGCCCUGCUUUUGUGGGGUGCUCGAGUGGCGAACGGGUGAGUAACACGUGAGUAACCUGCCCUUGACUUUGGGAUAACUUCAGGAAACUGGGGCUAAUACCGGAUAGGAGCUCCUGCUGCAUGGUGGGGGUUGGAAAGUUUCGGCGGUUGGGGAUGGACGGGCGGCUUAUCAGCUUGUUGGUGGGGUAGUGGCUUACCAAGGCUUUGACGGGUAGCCGGCCUGAGAGGGUGACCGGCCACAUUGGGACUGAGAUACGGCCCAGACUCCUACGGGAGGCAGCAGGGGGGAAUAUUGCACAAUGGGCGGAAGCCUGAUGCAGCAACGCCGCGUGCGGGAUGACGGCCUUCGGGUUGUAAACCGCUUUCGCCUGUGACGAAGCGUGAGUGACGGUAAUGGGUAAAGAAGCACCGGCUAACUACGUG
rnacentral:rRNA from 1 species